rnacentral:rRNA from 1 species
CAGCCGCCGCGGUAAUACGAGGGGUGCAAGCGUUAUUCGGAUUGAUUGGGUGUAAAGGGUGUGCAGACGGCUUAUUAAGUCUCUUGUUAAAUUCUUCGGCCUAACUGAAGGUCUGCAAGUGAUACUGAUGAGCUAGAGGGUGGAAGAGAGAAGUGGAAUUCCCGGAGUAGCGGUAAAAUGCGUAGAUCUCGAGAGGAACACCAAUGGCGAAGGCAGCUUCUUGGUCCAUUCCUGACGUUCAUACACGAAAGCGUGGGGAGCAAACAGGAUUAGAUACCCCCGUAGUCCCUGUCUCUUAUAC